UAUUCAAGGCGUUGCGGACAAAGGAGCUUAUCUUCUUUCACUAUAAACGUCGAUACGCCUGUCCCUCCUCGUUCGCUCGCCGACUCGAGCGAGAUGGAGGGGAAGGGAUCGGAUUCGCUGUCGCCUAGCGAUUGGGCCUCGAGGGCGCUGCCGUCGUCGUCUCCUCCCGCAAGCAGAGGAACGUCGAUGAGGCGGUGGAGAAGCUGAUGUCGAAGGGAAUCGAGGUGAUGGGGGUGGUCUGCCACGUUUCGAAUCCCCAUCACCGGCACGAUCUCAUCGAGAAGACCGUCCAGAUUGGACAAAAGUAGAAAGAGAGAAAGAGACAGAGAAUAAUUUCGGGAAAAGGCGCCAAAAAUUCUUUGAUGUUGAUGAACAACACCGUCAUGCAAAAUUCAGAGCUGUCACUGCCAGACACGUUGGUGCCUUGGGCUUUUACCUUGCUUCAGACACUCAUGAGCAAAUAAGACAGGCCUUAGAACAGCUGCAUGAUCCUUUUUCUCAUCUGAUCAGCUGACCACCAACAACUAUGGAACUUUCCAGAUUCUUGGACUGAACCAACUUAGACAGGAUGUUGUUAGCCAUCAACAGAGAAUUGAUGAAUUUGAUGGGAUUUGUGGUUUUAAUUGCUGAUCCAUGCACACUUUUAUUUGCAAUGGAGAACCCCUCUGAAUUGCUUUUGUUGCCUCUCUCAUUAGCUCGGUGUCAUUUGUCUAGAAUAUGCUUUGGAGUGUAGCAUCCUGAUGCACCCAGGAGGCGAGAGGAAUCCAGCAGAUGGAGGCCAAGAUCAAAUCAAAUUGGACAAAAGAAGAGGGUGGUGUUUGUCAAGUCAAUGCCUGGUUUUGUAUAAUUAGGUAUGUGUCUUUGUGGCUAGAUUAGGCUGCUGAAACUAACAUAUGGACUCCUUAUAUUGUCAAUGAUGGACUAGUUGGAGAGAAGUAGGACAUUGGUGAGAAGAUAUACUUGAUCAAUUUUCAGCCUCCAUCAUGUUAGCUAGUUGAUGAAAUAUGGUCACAUAGGCAUAGUUGUGUCGAAUGCUGCUGCUAAUCCGUCAGUGGAUAACAUUCUGGAUACCAGAGCGUCAGUGCUUGAUAAACUUUGGGAGAUCAGUGUGAAUUCCUCAGUUCUUAUUCUGCAGAUAAUUUAUAUGCUAAUGGGGUUUCACUUAGCCUUAUUUGAGAAUAUUAACUUCGUGUCUUUUGCAAGCUGCUGCAUCUUACUUGAAGAUGGGAUCAUCCGUCAUCCUUAUAUUUUCAAUUGCAGGUUAUCUUCCGCAGUCAUCCAUGGCCAUGUAUGGUGUCACAAAGACUGCUCUUCUCGAGCUUACUAAGGCUCUUGCUGCUGAGAUGAGUGAACUGUAUAGCUCCUGGAUUUGUGCCCACACAUUUUGCUGAUUUUAUCACGAAAAUGAUGCCAUCAGAAAAACCAUAGAGGAGAAGACUUUGCUUAAGAGGCCCGGGACUACCGAAGACAUGGCUUCUGCUGCAGCCUUUCUGGCAUCUGAUGAUUCAUCCAACAUUCCUGGAGAAACACUUGUGGUUGCCGGAGGGAUGCCUUCCAGGCUAUAAUCCAUUCCCAGACUUCACCCUGUGAUGAUCAUUUGUUGCUGCUGCCAACACAUGCCGAGUCUCAAGAACAUCAUUUUGUAGGCAGAGCAGAAUUAGACAUGCUGUAAUAAAUCAUUCAACCAUCUGAAGUUGGAGAUAUUGAAUUUAUUUUGUGCCUGCUUAGUGAAAUUGAGUUGUGUUUACCAUCUGGGUCAUUCUUGAUGCUUGCGACAGGCAGCCGUCAAAUGCUGUGGUCAAACAUAACUGUAACCCUUUUUUUGGGAAAAAAACGUCGAAGCCAAUAGCUUCUUAUGAGAAUUCACCUUAUUUUAAUCAUUGAUUUUGUGUUUGUUCUUA